UUCCGGCUGGUGGCGGCCGCCGCAGGAAGGGCCGGUUCCUGCGCUCCCCCCGCCCCUUUCCCUCGCCUUCGGCUGACGCUGACGUCGGAUGAGUGAUCCGGUGGGACGCUCCGACCGCGGCCGGGAGGCUCCUGGGGGCCGGGGCUCCGAGGUACCUGCCCUCCGGGGUCGGGGCGGGGGCGCGCCGGGCGGGCUGCAGGAGGCAGCAGGAGACGCCCGGCAGCCGGGACGGUCGGGGACGCCUGCAAUAGAAGAAGAAGAAAACAUGUCAGGACACAAAUGCAGUUAUCCCUGGGACUUACAGGAUCGAUAUGCUCAAGAUAAGUCAGUUGUAAAUAAGAUGCAACAGAAAUAUUGGGAGACGAAGCAGGCCUUUAUUAAAGCCACAGGGAAGAAGGAAGAUGAACAUGUUGUUGCCUCUGACGCAGACCUGGAUGCCAAGCUAGAGCUGUUUCAUUCAAUUCAGAGAACCUGUCUGGACUUAUCGAAAGCAAUUGUACUCUAUCAAAAGAGGAUAUGUUUCUUGUCUCAAGAAGAAAACGAACUGGGAAAAUUUCUUCGAUCCCAAGGUUUCCAAGAUAAAACCAGAGCAGGAAAGAUGAUGCAAGCGACAGGAAAGGCCCUCUGCUUUUCUUCCCAGCAAAGGUUGGCCUUACGAAAUCCUUUGUGUCGAUUUCACCAAGAAGUGGAGACUUUUCGGCAUCGGGCCAUCUCAGAUACUUGGCUGACGGUGAACCGCAUGGAACAGUGCAGGACGGAAUAUAGAGGAGCACUAUUAUGGAUGAAGGACGUGUCUCAGGAGCUUGAUCCAGACCUCUACAAGCAAAUGGAGAAGUUCAGGAAGGUACAAACACAAGUGCGCCUUGCAAAAAAAAACUUUGACAAAUUGAAGAUGGAUGUGUGUCAAAAAGUGGAUCUUCUUGGAGCAAGCAGAUGCAAUCUCUUGUCUCACAUGCUAGCAACAUACCAGACCACUCUGCUUCAUUUCUGGGAGAAAACUUCUCACACUAUGGCAGCCAUCCAUGAGAGUUUCAAAGGUUAUCAACCAUAUGAAUUUACUACUUUAAAGAGCUUACAAGACCCUAUGAAAAAAUUAGUUGAGAAAGAAGAGAAGAAGAAAAUCACCCAGCAGGAAAGUACAGAUGCAGCCGUGCAGGAGCCGAGCCAAUUAAUUUCAUUAGAGGAAGAAAACCAGCGCAAGGAAUCCUCUAGUUUUAAGACUGAAGAUGGAAAAAGUAUUUUAUCUGCCUUAGACAAAAGCUCUACACAUACUGCAUGCUCAGGACCCGUAGAUGAACUAUUAGACAUGAAAUCUGAGGAAAGUGCUUGCCUGGGACCAGUGGCAGGGACCCCAGAACCUGAAGGUGCUGACAAAGAUGACCUGCUGCUGUUGAGUGAGAUCUUCAAUGCUUCCUCCCUGGAAGAGGGCGAGUUCAGCAAAGAGUGGGCCGCUGUGUUUGGAGACGGCCAAGUGAAGGAGCCAGUGCCCACUAUGGCCCUGGGAGAGCCAGACCCCAAGGCCCAGACAGGCUCAGGUUUCCUUCCUUCGCAGCUUUUAGACCAAAAUAUGAAAGACUUACAGGCCUCGCUACAAGCGGCUGCCUGGGGAAUGUGAGGAUUGUCCCAAAGCAUAGUCACUGGCUCCUCACGGCAAGGCCAUGAGAACGCUCAGAAGACCUCCUAAGACCCUUGAGGAGAACCUGCUAAGGCUGCCUCAGACCUGACUGCCUGGUUCAGCCUCUUCGCUGACCUCGACCCACUCUCAAAUCCUGAUGCUGUUGGGAAAACCGACAAAGAACACGAAUUGCUCAAUGCAUGAAUCUGUACCCUUCAGGAGGGCACUCACAUGCCGCCCCCAGCAGCUCCCCUGGGGGCUAGCAGAAGUAUAAAGUGAUCAGUAUGCUGUUUUAAUAAUUAUGUGCCAUUUUAAUAAAAUGAAAGGGUCAACGGCCCUGUUUAUAUUGGUAUAA